AAGUCGUAACAAGGUUUCCGUAGGUGAACCUGCGGAAGGAUCAUUAAUGAAAUGAUGUUUUUUUUGGGGUUUUUUAAAUUCCAAAAAAUAAUUCACCAUUUGUGCAUUGUUAUUAGAUAUACUUUGGUUAGAGCUUUGAUUUCAUUUAUUGGAAUCAACUUCUUGCUAACUCUAUCCUUUCUGAGGACAGUUGGCUAUGAAGCGGCCUACCAAGGUUUUUUAUCAAACUCUUGUAUUUUGUCUGACCUAAAAUAUCAAUAAUUAAAUCAUAACUUUCAACAACGGAUCUCUUGGCUCUC
rnacentral:misc_RNA from 1 species